rnacentral:tRNA from 1 species
GUCGGAGUGGCGGAAUUGGCAGACGCCCAGGACUUAAAAUCCCGUGGGAGUGAUCCCGUGCCGGUUCGAUCCCGGUCUCCGACACCA